rnacentral:rRNA from 1 species
UACAGAGGGUGCGAGCGUUAAUCGGAAUUACUGGGCGUAAAGCGCGCGUAGGCGGCUUUUCAAGUCGAUUGUGAAAUCCCCGGGCUUAACCUGGGAACUGCAGUCGAGACUGUCUAGCUAGAGUAUGGGAGAGGGAAGUGGAAUUUCAGGUGUAGCGGUGAAAUGCGUAGAUAUCUGAAGGAACAUCAGUGGCGAAAGCGACUUCCUGGACCAAUACUGACGCUGAUGCGCGAAAGCUAGGGGAGCAAACAGG